rnacentral:tRNA from 1 species
GGAAGCGCUCGGGGGCUGGUGCCUCCUGCGGUCUUCAAAACCGUUGUCCGGGGCGUCAUGCGUCUCGGGGGUGGGUUCGAUUCCCAUGCGCUUCCGCCA